GAUGAACGCUAGCUACAGGCUUAACACAUGCAAGUCGAGGGGCAGCAUUUCAGUUUGCUUGCAAACUGGAGAUGGCGACCGGCGCACGGGUGAGUAACACGUAUCCAACCUGCCGAUAACUCGGGGAUAGCCUUUCGAAAGAAAGAUUAAUACCCGAUGGUAUAAUCAGACCGCAUGGUCUCGUUAUUAAAGAAUUUCGGUUAUCGAUGGGGAUGCGUUCCAUUAGGCAGUUGGUGAGGUAACGGCUCACCAAACCUUCGAUGGAUAGGGGUUCUGAGAGGAAGGUCCCCCACAUUGGAACUGAGACACGGUCCAAACUCCUACGGGAGGCAGCAGUGAGGAAUAUUGGUCAAUGGGCGCAGGCCUGAACCAGCCAAGUAGCGUGAAGGAUGACUGCCCUAUGGGUUGUAAACUUCUUUUAUAUGGGAAUAAAGUUUUCCACGUGUGGAAUUUUGUAUGUACCAUAUGAAUAAGGAUCGGCUAACUCCGUGCCAGCAGCCGCGGUAAUACGGAGGAUCCGAGCGUUAUCCGGAUUUAUUGGGUUUAAAGGGAGCGUAGGUGGACAGUUAAGUCAGUUGUGAAAGUUUGCGGCUCAACCGUAAAAUUGCAGUUGAUACUGGCUGUCUUGAGUACAGUAGAGGUGGGCGGAAUUCGUGGUGUAGCGGUGAAAUGCUUAGAUAUCACGAAGAACUCCGAUUGCGAAGGCAGCUCACUGGACUGCAACUGACACUGAUGCUCGAAAGUGUGGGUAUCAAACAGGAUUAGAUACCCUGGUAGUCCACACAGUAACCGAUGAAUACUCGCUGUUUGCGAUAUACAGUAAGCGGCCAAGCGAAAGCAUUAAGUAUUCCACCUGGGGAGUACGCCGGCAACGGUGAAACUCAAAGGAAUUGACGGGGGCCCGCACAAGCGGAGGAACAUGUGGUUUAAUUCGAUGAUACGCGAGGAACCUUACCCGGGCUUAAAUUGCAUUUGAAUAUAUUGGAAACAGUAUAGCCGUAAGGCAAAUGUGAAGGUGCUGCAUGGUUGUCGUCAGCUCGUGCCGUGAGGUGUCGGCUUAAGUGCCAUAACGAGCGCAACCCUUAUCUUUAGUUACUAACAGGUCAUGCUGAGGACUCUAGAGAGACUGCCGUCGUAAGAUGUGAGGAAGGUGGGGAUGACGUCAAAUCAGCACGGCCCUUACGUCCGGGGCUACACACGUGUUACAAUGGGGGGUACAGAAGGCAGCUACCUGGUGACAGGAUGCUAAUCCCAAAAGCCUCUCUCAGUUCGGAUCGAAGUCUGCAACCCGACUUCGUGAAGCUGGAUUCGCUAGUAAUCGCGCAUCAGCCAUGGCGCGGUGAAUACGUUCCCGGGCCU
rnacentral:rRNA from 1 species